rnacentral:rRNA from 1 species
UACGUAGGGGGCAAGCGUUGUCCGGAAUCAUUGGGCGUAAAGAGCGUGUAGGCGGCUCGAUAAGUCCGCUCUGAAAGCCCGGGGCUCAACCCCGGGAGGCGGGCGGAUACUGUCGAGCUAGAGUCCGGAAGAGGCGAGUGGAAUUCCUGGUGUAGCGGUGAAAUGCGUAGAUAUCAGGAGGAACACCUGUGGCGAAAGCGGCUCACUGGACCAUAACUGACGCUGAUGCACGAAAGCUAGGGGAGCAAACAGG